rnacentral:rRNA from 1 species
AACGGACGCUGGCGGCAUGCCUAACACAUGCAAGUCGAACGAUGCCUUCGAGCAUAGUGGCGCACGGGUGCGUAACGCGUGGGAAUCUGCCUUUCGGUUCGGAAUAACUCAGGGAAACUUGAGCUAAUACCGGAUAACGUCGCAAGACCAAAGAUUUAUCACCGAAAGAUGAGCCCGCGUAGGAUUAGCUAGUUGGUGAGGUAAAGGCUCACCAAGGCGACGAUCCUUAGCUGGUCUGAGAGGAUGAUCAGCCACACUGGGACUGAGACACGGCCCAGACUCCUACGGGAGGCAGCAGUGGGGAAUAUUGGACAAUGGGCGAAAGCCUGAUCCAGCAAUGCCGCGUGAGUGAUGAAGGCCUUAGGGUUGUAAAGCUCUUUUAACCGGGAAGAUAAUGACGGUACCGGGAGAAUAAGCCCCGGCUAACUCCGUG